UACAACCGUUUCAAAAUCAUCUAUUCAUCUUCUCUCCAAUUUCUUCCAUUUUCUCAUCAGUUUUCCUUUUCCCUUUCCAAAACCCUAAAUUCAACCAUGGCCGCAUACCUCUUUCCACCAUAACAAUCUUCGAUCUGAAUAUUUAUAUCCAUUAUUCUGGCCGUUCACUCCAUUUCGCAAUGAAUCAAGACUUGAUCACCACAAAGAAUUGCAUCAACAAUCAUCAAGAAUCAACAUAAUCCAUGUUAAUCAUCGAUUCUUGCUUCCAAUUUCUUAUUAUAGAGGAUCUACCAUAUAAUUUCAAGGUUGUGGUUAGUUGUGGAUGAUGGAUGCGGCGAUGGUGAUUAAGGAUGGGGAAUGUAAGCAAUAGUAAGUACCUUAAAAUGGUUAAACUGGACUACAAUAACUGUGUAAGCAUGCAUCAGCUCCAAUGGAACACUAAUCAGCAAUACAGACAAAGGAGAAGACGGUUUCUAUGUUCAACAGAAGCUGACAACAAAGAGAAUAGAAUUCGGUAACAGAGUUGUCCACUGGUAACAGUUCGGAUGGAAUUACAAAUGGUUGUUCAUGGAUAGGAAAUAUGGUGGUUAUGGUAGUUGUCCAGGGAGAUGACCGCCAGUGAAAGGAGAUGACACCAGAACUGUGACAUGUCUGAGCUAAAGCAUGGCGGCUUGGCUUGGUGAUGUUUUGAAACUAACGAUAUUGGUCACGAUGGUUGUUCGAGAGGUGGUGGUGGCAUCAGCGGCAAAGAAGGUGAGGUUUGUGAUGUCAGCUGGCGGGGGCAUUGGAGGCUCCGGCAACGACUGGUGAUGGUGGCGUUGACAACAAUUAGCAGCUGAUGUAUGUGGUGAUGAAGGUGAACAUCGAAGACUGAGAUGCGAGAACGACGAUCGAUAAGUGGUGGCUAGGAACCCAGUGGUUGCUUCACCAGUUGUGCCGAAUCAUACAAGCUUAUCAUCUCAGUCAGUCAAAUGCUGGAGGUUAUUAAAUUUCUG
rnacentral:lncRNA from 1 species